GCACAUGCGCAGGCAUUUAGUCUCCAUGACUACCACGCCGACAUCGGCAGCCUCGGGCAGUUUACACUGACUUGCGGCGGCUAGGCACCGCAUGUCAGUAAUAUACCAUGGCUGCAUCCGGAUAUGGUCGUCCCGUGACCUCCACUUCAGGUUUGGAGUCCGGAUACGGAGCGGUGAUAUACACAGCUUGCCCGCGCGCCGGAAAUUGAUUACCGGUACGGGCAGCGGUACCAUAGGAUCCAAUCACCCACGCUGACACAUGUCCACACCCAGCUGCAGGUGAUCUAUUAACUAUAGCAACCGUCAUAUUACCGCCCAUGAUAGGCUUACUUGUUCCAUAUAUACUGCUCCCAAACCAUUCAGAGACACGUCCCCUGACGAAGCCAUUGUAGCGAAAACGCGUUCGGGGAAAGGAGGGUAAAAGGAAUUUGUCUGUGGAAAUAUAAGAGCGAUAGAAUUACCCGAGAUUUGUAAAUGCUUCAAAAUUCAUGUAGAGGAACACGAAGUCUAUAAACAUCUGGUCAAGGAAAGUCAUUUUUGGAUUUAGAAAACAGAAAAAUUGGAACAUGGGAGUCGGAAACCCAAGUUCGAAGGGAGGAUCUUUUCAUUCAGAAAUUGUAAAUAUGAGUCAGCCAUCCAGAACACAACUACUGUCCACAUACUUUACAGUGCUGGAGACUUUUCAAAAUAAAUAACAGUAAAAGUUGCCAGAACCUCCAAGUUUUCUCCAGAAAUGUCCGACAAGAAAAGUCGUGAUGUAUACGGCAUACGGAUCAAGUACAAUUGCUUCCGAGACGCUAGAGACAAAGUGCGAGGGGGUGCCAAGAUGCAGAUAAGAAGUUUCCAAGAAGUAGCAAAUGAAACACAUGUAACUGAGACAUGAGAAAGUGCAGGAGUCUCACAAAUUACUUCUAUGGAUCACCGUUUCAAUCUUGCCCCCAAAAAACCAAGGAGAACUGGAUGAAAGAGAACUGACACGAACCAGGACCUUUCUCUAAGGAAUUUUCAUUACACUGUUCAUAAGGUUUUCAAGAAGCAAAUAAAAUAGCUUGGAUACUUCUUUUCUUUUAAUAUAUAUUAAUUUAAAACCAUAAAAUGCACAGGCUGUAAGCUAUGAGAGCUACAUGAAUUCACACGUUUUUUUUGUUUGAUGGUAUCGGAAAACACACUUGAGUGUUAGACUGAUGUAUCCAAUAAGCAAGCCAAAACUUUGUAUUAUGUACAUUU